rnacentral:rRNA from 1 species
GGCUUAAUUUGACUCAACGCGGGAAAUCUUACCGGGUCCGGACACACUGAGGAUUGACAGGUAUUAUAUAGCAACGCUAUUGUUAAAUAUGCUAGUCCUUUCAUGAUUAUGUGAUAGGUGGUGCAUGGCCGUUCUUAGUUCGUGGAGUGAUCUGUCUGCUUAAUUGCGUUUCAGAUAAGGAUCUAUAUUCUUUACAGUGUUGC